CGUCUUGGCGGCUGUGCGUGGGCAGACUUCGGUCUGGCCGGGUCCUGCUAACCGGUAUUUCCACCCCGCGUACCGCUGCCACCUUA
rnacentral:antisense_RNA from 5 species